rnacentral:rRNA from 1 species
GAUGAACGCUAGCGGCAGGCCUAACACAUGCAAGUCGAGGGAGAAGCCUUUCGGGGCAGAAACCGGCGCACGGGUGCGUAACGCGUAUGCAACCUACCUUUCACAGGGGGAUAGCCCGAAGAAAUUUGGAUUAAUACCCCAUAAUAUUGUUUGAUGGCAUCAUUGGACAAUUAAAACUGCGGUGGUGAAAGAUGGGCAUGCGUCCUAUUAGCUAGUUGGAGUGGUAACGGCACCCCAAGGCUACGAUAGGUAGGGGUCCUGAGAGGGAGAUCCCCCACACUGGUACUGAGACAGGGACCAGACUCCUACGGGAGGCAGCAGUGAGGAAUAUUGGUCAAUGGUCGGAAGACUGAACCAGCCAUGCCGCGUGCAGGAAGAAUGCCUUAUGGGUUGUAAACUGCUUUUAUAUGGGAAGAAUAAGGUGUACGUGUACAUNGANGACGGUNCCA